rnacentral:lncRNA from 1 species
AUGUCAGAAUUACAACCUGAGGUUACAGCACUGUGACACUUUCAAGCUCUUCAAGGUUUGUCAAGCACAGUUAAUUAUAUUUACUAGAAGUCUCUCACCUCUCAUACUCAUGCACCUUAAUCAUACACACAGUGGAAAUCUAUAAAGACCUUAGAAUAAAAGGAGCGCGUUUAAACACUGCCUUUAGAACACAAAGAUGUAUCUGUGAUUUUGAAAAUAAGAAAGUUUUAUUGUUUUCAUUUGACCCAGGUCUUGAGCAAGGGCUUCAGGGAGAGGCUCAGACAGAAGACCGGACACCACAGGGGAUGAUGCCAGAGGGCCCCUCAAAAACUUCUGGGCUCCCGAGUCUCCUAGUCACGCUUGAGGGUGAACCUUCCGGGGAGACCCUCCCCCAGCCCAGCCCGAAAAGUCUCACCUCCUCCUCUAGGAAGUGGUUCUCCAGGAAGUCACAGAGAUGGCUCUCUCCACGGGCACGCAGAUCCCGAAGGGCUUGGUUCAGGAUCUUCCCCAGAACCUUGGCGGCUUCCUUGGCCUCCAGGGUUUUACCCCCACUCCUCUCGCGAAGGCUUCUGUACUUUCCGGAAAAGGGCACGAAGCCGCCCCCUCCCCCGCGCUGUUUUUGCAUUUUCAAGGGAGGCUGGGUGAUCUCGCUUCUCCUUGCCAACGGGCAGAAGUGGCCCACGCCCUGCGGAGCCACACCCUCCAGGCCAGAUAGAAGCCCAGAGAAAGGCAGACAAGUACAUCUGUGUGAGGGACUCCUGGGUUCAAAUAUUUUCUGCUCCUCUCACAUAUGGACCUUUGUCAAGAGCAGCUGCCCUGAAUUCUCCAGCAGAUGGAAGGCAUGCAGUGGACCUGAGGACGGAAUGUAAUGAUGCUCAUCGGUACAUAAUGAAGCACAUUUGAAGAGCUGACAUCCUGAGUUGUUAUGGAGGAGGUGUCCAAUAAGGUAAGUUCCAGAGAAGAAAACAAAACACAUGGCUUAUUCUUAAUUAUUUAUAAUAUAUAAAGCAUUCGUAUAUCUACA